rnacentral:rRNA from 1 species
UGCGAAUGGCUCAUUAUAUAAGUUAUCGUUUAUUUGAUAGUACCUUACUACUUGGAUAACCGUGGUAAUUCUAGAGCUAAUACAUGCUAAAAAUCCCGACUUCGGAAGGGAUGUAUUUAUUAGAUUAAAAACCAAUGCCCUCCGGGGCUCACUGGUGAUUCAUGAUAACUCCUCGAAUCGCAUGGCCUUGUGCCGGCGAUGGUUCAUUCAAAUUUCUUCCCUAUCAACUUUCGAUGUUUGGGUAUUGGCCAAACAUGGUUGCAACGGGUAACGGAGGGUUAGGGCUCGACCCCGGAGAAGGAGCCUGAGAAACGGCUACUACAUCCAAGGAAGGCAGCAGGCGCGCAAAUUACCCAAUCCCGACACGGGGAGGUAGUGACAAUAAAUACUGAUACAGGGCUCUUUUGGGUCUUGUAAUUGGAAUGAGUACAAUUUAAAUCCCUUAACGAGGAACAAUUGGAGGGCAAGUCUGGUGCCAGCAGCCGCGGUAAUUCCAGCUCCAAUAGCGUAUAUUAAAGUUGUUGUGGUUAAAAAGCUCGUAGUUGAACCUUGGGCCUGGCUGGCCGGUCCGCCUCACCGCGUGUACUGGUCCGGCCGGGCCUUUCCCUCUGUGGAACCCCAUGCCCUUCACUGGGCGUGGCGGGGAAACAGGACUUUUACUGUGAAAAAAUUAGAGUGCUCCAGGCAGGCCUAUGCUCGAAUACAUUAGCAUGGAAUAAUAGAAUAGGACGUGUGGUUCUAUUUUGUUGGUUUCUAGGACCGCCGUAAUGAUUAAUAGGGACAGUCGGGGGCAUCAGUAUUCAAUUGUCAGAGGUGAAAUUCUUGGAUUUAUUGAAGACUAACUACUGCGAAAGCAUUUGCCAAGGAUGUUUUCAUUAAUCAGGAACGAAAGUUAGGGGAUCGAAGACGAUCAGAUACCGUCGUAGUCUUAACCAUAAACUAUGCCGACUAGGGAUCGGACGGUGUUA